UGGGGAAUAUUGGACAAUGGGGGGAACCCUGAUCCAGCCAUGCCGCGUGUGUGAAGAAGGCCUUAUGGUUGUAAAGCACUUUAAGCGAGGAGGAGGGUACUGGUAUUAAUACUACCAGGUACUGGACGUUACUCGCAGAAUAAGCACCGGCUAACUCUGUGCCAGCAGCCGCGGUAAUACAGAGGUUGCGAGCGUUAAUCGGAUUUACUGGGCGUAAAGCGUGCGUAGGCGGCUAAUUGAGUCGGAUGUGAAAUCCCCGAGCUUAACUUGGGAAUUGCAUUCGAUACUGGUUAGCUAGAGUGUGGGAGAGGGUGGUAGAAUUCCAGGUGUAGCGGUGAAAUGCGUAGAGAUCUGGAGGAAUACCGAUGGCGAAGGCAGCCAUCUGGCCUAACACUGACGCUGAGGUACGAAAGCAUGGGGAGCAAACAGG
rnacentral:rRNA from 1 species